CCAUUAGUCCUUGCUACUAUGUUUGAGCGUAGGUACCAGAAAUUUUGUGAAGAGCUUUCAACCUGUAGUUCCUGACAGGUCACAGUGACUUCAUAAUUAGCGAUUCUUCUCCUCAUUUAACAGAUGAGCAAACGGAAGCUUAGAGGUUACAGGAUUUGCCCGGGGUCACAUGGCUGUGACACAACUAUGAGAACCUUGUUUUAAUUUUAGCAUCUCUUAUGUACUGCCUACCUCAUAACCUUCUUGUCUUAGUUGAUUUGUGCUGCUGUAACAAAAUAUCUCAGCCUGGAUAAUUUAUAACUGUAUGUUAAUUUCUCACUGUUCUGGAGGCUGGGAAGUCCAAGAUCAUGUGACCAUGCUGCUGGUGGUCUGUGUCUGGUGAGGGCUGGCUCUCAUCUAAGAUAGUGUUUUGUUUUGGUUUGGUUUUUUUUUUUUGCCAUAUCUUCACAUAGCAGAAGGGCAAAAAGGGCCCUGUAUGAAGCCUCUUUUAUGAGAGCCUUAAUUCCAUUCCUGAGUGAGGCACCCUCUUAAAAGCCCACCUCUUAACACCACAGCAAUGGGGAUUACAUGCCCCCAUGUAUUUUGGAGGGACACAAGUGUUCCAGCCAUAGCACUACUACUUAUCCAGCACAGCACAAUGGGACUUAAAAGUCAUUUUUCUGCUCUUGCCCUAUUUCAAGGUGGACACAGAAUCAUCAGACUUCAGAUCUUCCUCUCUCGAGUCAGCCAUGGUCUGUUCCAGGUCACAUCACUGUGGGACAGACAGAGGCUGAGGCAGGACCAGGCCUCCCCAGCCUCCACGUCGUCGUCCACACUUCUUUUCCUCAAUGUGCCUGGGGAUUCUGCAAAAUGUGAUUUCAGCUACUUUCUAGGCCAGCUGCAUAUCACUUGUUCCCAUUCGAUGCUUUGAACUGCAGAAGUUUCACUUCAUAAGAACACUCUGCGGUAAGUGGUUUUGUGCAGUUGAUCCACUGAGCAGGUAAGCACUGAUUUUAUAACACUGGUGUUUUAGAGGUUUUUUGCAGAGUUUUCUUCUUCUGAUGAUGUGAAUGUUGUUCAUGAGCCACAGGAUAUCCUAGCUGUAGGAGGGCAAGAGACUUGAAAAAUCUCAUGUGUAUAUGUCACUAUUGGCAAACAGCAUUUCAUAGUGGCAAUAGGAGGGUCCCAAUUUUUGUUUAGCUUCAUGCCUGGGAAGAAGCAAUAGUAAAGCAACCUUUGGCCAAAGGAAAAGUUAUAAGGUCCACAGAACAUGUCAAAAGUCAAGGGCAAGAAGUCUCAUAGUUUCUUAUAAAAUUAAACCUAUACCUUUUCCAUAAUUCACUAAAGCCACUGGUUUAUUUACACAAGAUAAAUUAACUUGAGUAUUUAUUCAAAAUAAAUAAAAAUGUAUGUCCACCAAAAUGCUUUUACAAGAAUGCCCAUAGUAACUAACUUUUAUUCAUAGUAACCCAAGAUGGGAAAUUUCCAUCAACAGAAGAAUGGAUAAAUAAAUUAUGUUAUAUUUACAUAAUGGCUUACUUACUACUCAAAUAUAAAAGGAAACAAACUGUAGCUAUAUGUAAUAUCAUGGGUGACUUUUACAGCAAUGAUGUGUGUGAAAGAAACCAGAUGCAAAUGAGUACAUAUGGUAUGAUUCCAUUUAUGUAAAGUUCUAAACCACACAAAACCAAUCCUUAAGGAUAAAAAUCAGAUGAGUAUCGCCUCUGGUGGGGAGGGGAAGGAUUGACUGAGAAACAGCAUGAAGGAACUUUCUAGGGUGAGGGAACUGUUCUAUAUCUUCAUAGAGUGUGGGAAACAUGGGAUUUAUAUUUGUCAAAACUCAUCAAAACCUCUUGUGACAAAAAUUCUAGAUUUUGCAUUUCACGCAACAUAAAAUGUACCUCAAAAAUUAACAAAAUCAGGGGAAGGAUACAAGAUGGCUGAAUAGGAACAGCUCUGGAGUGCAGUUCCCAGCAAGAACAACGCAGAGGGACAGAGCACCUGGGAAAGGAGGCGGUUAUGAGUUCUGCUGCAGCAGACAUAAAAGUACCUGCUCAGCAGCUCUGCAAAGAACAAUGGAGCUCCCAGCACAGCACUCGAGCUCCUAUAAGGGACAGACUAUCUCCUCAAGCAGCUCCCCAACCCCCAUAUACACAAAGAGACACCUCAUAAAGGAGAGCUCAGGCUGACAUCUGGUAGGUACCCUUGUGGGACAAAGAUAACAGAAGAAGAAACCAGCAGCAACCCUUACUGUUCUGCAGCCCCCACAGGUGAUCCCCAGGUAAACAGGGUCUGGAGUGGACCUCCAGCAGUCCUGCAGCAGAGGGGCCUGAUUGUUAGAAGGAAAACUAAGAAACAGAAAGAAAUAACUUAAUCAUCAACAAAAAGGACAUCUACUCAGAGACCCCAUCCAAAAGUCACCAACUACAAAGACCACAGGUAGAUAAAGCCACUAAGAUGAAAAGAAACCAGCACAAAAAUGAUGAAAACACCAAAAACCAGAAUACCUUUCCUCCUCCAAAGGAUCCCAACUCCUCACCAGCUAGGGAUCAGAGAUGGAUGGAGAAUGAAUCUGAUGAAUUGACAGAAACAGUCUUCAGAAGGUGGGUAAUAACAAACUUCUCAGAGCUAAAAGAACAUGUGCAAACCCAAUGCAAAGAAACUAGGAACCUAGAAAAAAAGGUUAAAUGAGAUGCUAACUAGAAUAAGCAGCUUAGAGAAGAAUAUAAACCACUUGAUGGAGCUGAAAAACACAGCAUGAGAACUUUGUGAAGCAUACACAAGUGUCAGUAGCCAAAUUGACCAAGCAGAAGAAAGGAUAUCAGAUACUGAAGAUCAACUCAAUGAAAUAAAAUUAGAAGGCAAGAAUAGAGAAAAAAAGAGUGAAAAGAAAUGAACAAAGCCUCCAAGCAAUAUGUGAUUAUGUGAAAAUACCUAAUUUACUUUUGAUAGGUAUACCUGAAUGUGAUGGAGAGAAUGAAUCCAAGCUGGAAAACACUCUUCAGGAUAUUAUCCAGGAGAACUUUCCCAAGCUAGCAAGCCAGGCCACCAUUCAAGUCCAGGAAAAACAGAAAACACCACAAAGAUAUUCCUCAAGAAGAGCAACCCCAAGGCACAUAAUCAUUGAAUUCACCAGGGUUGAAAUGAAGGAAAAAAUGCUAAGGGCAGCCAGAGAGAAAGAUUGGGUUACCCACAAAGGGAAGCCCAUCAGAUUCACAGUGGAUCUCUCCACAGAAACCCUACAAGUGAGAAGAGUGGGGGACCAAUAUUUUACAUCCUUAAAGAAAAAACUUUCAACCUAGAAUUUCAUAUCCAGCCAAACUAAGCUUCAUAAGCAAAGGAGAAAGAAAAUUCUUUAUGGACAAGCAAUUGCUGAGAGAUUUUGUCGCCACCAGCUGUGCCUUACAAGAGCUCCUGAAAGAAGCACUAAACAAGGAAAGGAACAGCCAGUCCCAACCACUCCAAAAAUGUACCAAAUGGUAAAGACCAUCGAUAUAAUGAAAAAAAAAUGCAUCAACUAAUGGGCAAAACAUCCAGCUAACAUCAAAAUGGCAGGAUCAAAUUCACACAUAACAAUAUUAGCCUUAAAUGUAAAUGGGCUAAAUGACCCAGUGAAAAGACAGACUGGCAAACUGAAUAAAAAGUCAAGACCCAUCGGUGUGCUGUAUGCAGGAAACCCAUCUCACAUGCAAGGACACACAUAGGCUCAAAAUAAAGGGAUGGAGGAAGAUUUGUCAAGCAAAUGGAGAGUGCAAAAAUAAGCAAUCCUAGUUGCAAUCCUAGUCUCUGAUAAAAUGGAUUUUAAACCAACAAAGAUCAAAAGAGAUAAAGAAGGACAUGACAUAAUGAUAAAAGGAUCAAUGCAUUCUUUUGCAUUUGCUGAGGAGUGAUUUGAAAAGCUAACCAUCCUAGAUAUAUACUUACCCAAUACCGGAGCACCCAGGUACAUAAAGCAAGUUCUUAAUGACCUACAAAGUGACUUAGACUCCCACACAAAAUAGUUGGAGACCUUAACACUCCACUGUCAAUAUUAGACAGAUCAACGAGACAGAAAAUUAACAAGCAUAUAGAGGACUUGAACUUGGAUCUGGACCAAGCAAACCUAAUAGACAUCUACAGAAAUCUCAACCCCAAAUCCAAAGAAUAUGCAUUCUUCUCAGCACCACAUGGCACCUACUCUAAAACUGACCACAUACUUGGAAGUAAAUCACUCCUCAGCCAAUGCAAAAGAAUGGAAAUCAUAACAAACAGUCUCUCAGACCACAGGGCAAUCAAAUUAGAAAUGUGAAUUAAGAAAUUAACUCAGAACCGCACAGCUUCAUGGAAAGUGAAAAACUGGCUCCUGAAUGUCGACUGGAUACACAAUG
ensembl:lncRNA